rnacentral:rRNA from 1 species
AGAGUUUGAUCCUGGCUCAGGAUGAACGCUGACAGAAUGCUUAACACAUGCAAGUCUUUGGCGAAGCUGUGCUUGCACAGCCUAGCCAAGGCGGACGGGUGAGUAACGCGUAAGGAACUUGCCCUGCAGUCAGGGAUAACAGACGGAAACGACUGAUAAGACCUGGUAAAGUCAGGCGGACUCAUGUCCAGCCUGAUGAAAAGAGAUGCUGCAGGAGAGCCUUGCGUUCUAUUAGCUUGUUGGUGGGGUAAUGGCCCACCAAGGCGAUGAUAGGUAGCCGGCCUGAGAGGGUGGACGGCCACAAGGGGACUGAGAUACGGCCCUUACUCCUACGGGAGGCAGCAGUGGGGAAUAUUGGACAAUGGGGGCAACCCUGAUCCAGCAAUUCUGUGUGCACGAUGAAGGUUUUCGGAUUGUAAAGUGCUUUCAGCAGGGAAGAAAAAAUGACGGUACCUGCAGAAGAAGCGACGGCUAAAUACGUG